AGAGUUUGAUCCUGGCUCAGAGCGAACGCUGGCGGCAGGCUUAACACAUGCAAGUCGAGCGGGUGUAGCAAUACAUCAGCGGCAGACGGGUGAGUAACGCGUGGGAACGUACCUUUUGGUUCGGAACAACCCAGGGAAACUUGGGCUAAUACCGGAUAAGCCCUUACGGGGAAAGAUUUAUCGCCGAAAGAUCGGCCCGCGUCUGAUUAGCUAGUUGGUGAGGUAAUGGCUCACCAAGGCGACGAUCAGUAGCUGGUCUGAGAGGAUGAUCAGCCACAUUGGGACUGAGACACGGCCCAAACUCCUACGGGAGGCAGCAGUGGGGAAUAUUGGACAAUGGGGGCAACCCUGAUCCAGCCAUGCCGCGUGAGUGAUGAAGGCCCUAGGGUUGUAAAGCUCUUUUGUGCGGGAAGAUAAUGACGGUACCGCAAGAAUAAGCCCCGGCUAACUUCGUGCCAGCAGCCGCGGUAAUACGAAGGGGGCUAGCGUUGCUCGGAAUCACUGGGCGUAAAGGGUGCGUAGGCGGGUCUUUAAGUCAGGGGUGAAAUCCUGGAGCUCAACUCCAGAACUGCCUUUGAUACUGAAGAUCUUGAGUCCGGGAGAGGUGAGUGGAACUGCGAGUGUAGAGGUGAAAUUCGUAGAUAUUCGCAAGAACACCAGUGGCGAAGGCGGCUCACUGGCCCGGUACUGACGCUGAGGCACGAAAGCGUGGGGAGCAAACAGGAUUAGAUACCCCCGUAGUCC
rnacentral:rRNA from 1 species